rnacentral:rRNA from 1 species
CCCUAUGGGGUGCAGCAGGGGUAACCGGCGAGGAUAAAGAUAUUCUUUCCACCUUUAAAGAUACAAAGAUUAUCUAUGUUUUGAACAAGGUUGAUCUGAUCGACAAUAUAAAAGUCGAUGCUCUCAUAAAUGAAACCGGUUUUAACUUUAUUCCGGUAUCAGCAAAAUUCGGCAAUGGAUUCCGUGAGCUUGAAAAAGCGAUCUCAGAAAUCAUAAAUACUGAAUUUGUUGAUUAUGAUAAUUCAUUUCUUGCUGACGCAAGAAUUACCGGGAUACUUUCAGAUUCACUUAUUAUUAUUGAUCGGGUGAUUGAGCUUUUCGGUAGAAAAGAACUCCCUGAGAUUAUUGCUUUUGAUCUAAAUGAAUGGGCGGGGGAGC